AGGUACACUGCAAGUAGUUAAUUUCCCGAGCAUCGUUAGGGUGCUUGGAAUGCCAAUUAAAACCGCGAAAUAUAUCUCCUCUCUCCGCCGAUCUGGAAAACCGCCCUAUAUUUAUCCUCUCGAUUUCUCUUCCCAUCGCUCAAUCGGCAGUUUCCCUCUCGAUUUCUCUUCCCAUCGCUCAAUCGGCAGUUUCCCUCUCAUCUCUCUACCGCCAUCGCGAGCCACAUUAUUCCACCGAGAGACUCCUCGCCCACCCGGUCUCUCUCCCUCACACUAUUUCUGAGGAGCUUUGGCCAAAGUUGGAACUACAGUUGCGAUAUAUCCCCUUCUUGUUGUUAAGCUGUGUGGAUUUGAUGUUGGUUAAUUUCAGAGAGGAGCAGUUCUUAAAAAAUUAGACUUGGAGUUGAAGGCAUGAGUGCUGGGGCUAGAGACUGCUGGUUGUAUUGUACCUCUUGAGGUAGCAUAUGGAAAUUCCUCCCAAUGCAACAACCAUUGAGCUGGACGUUGAGUUGCUGACUAUCAAACAAAACUCAUUCGGGUUGCCAAGUGUGUCAAAAUCAGGUUGCCCGAUCUAGUUCUUCUGGCUGUUGUCAGAUUUCUUAAGGAGCAUCGACAGGACGCUCUAUGGAGGAUGAACGGGGCCGCAAACUCAUACAACUUGCAGAUUGGAGAAGUGCAAGCGGAUUUAGAUUAGCUUAACAUAAGUGUAGAUGGAUCCGGGUAAACAAAUUGUGAUGUUGUAGGAGGAAUAGUAUAAUAAAACAAUUGUAAAACUAUUUUAUUUAAUUUAAUGUUAUUUGAAUUUUGUUUUCUUUA